CUUCUGCGGUGAUGAUUUUAUGAGAAAUUCACAUGUCAGACUUCAGAGAUUCUUGUAAUCUAUGAGAAUAAAUUCAUAUAUCUGAGCAGAAG
rnacentral:snoRNA from 14 species